CUAGGAAAACAACUCUGACACACAGAUUUACAUACAAAACUCUUUUUUGUUUAUUUUUUGGUCUUUUGUUUUGUUUUGUUUCGGGGGGAAAGAAGUGGUUUUCUUUGUCAUCCUGGUCCUUAAUAGUAUUAGCCAAGGCUCCUCUCAGCUGCUCUCCUGCCCUGCUCUGCCCUCUACAGCCCUCUCUUGGAAGGACUCCCCUCUCCACCAGUAGAGGACGCCAAUGUGACAUGAAGGCUGCUGGGAAAUGUAGUCCAUGGUCUUAAAGGGUCUGCUCUGAGUCCCAGGAACCCCUCCUCUAGCUGCAGGAUGGGCUUAAACCUUUUAAGCCUAGAAUUUACAACAGUUUGGGGGCCUUUCUCUCUUGGUUCUUCAAUUAGCCCUAUCCAGAACACUUUGCAAAGCUUAAGGAGAGCCCAGGGCUGUUCACAACUUCCCCUUCCUCUAAGGCCUCCAGCACAGUGAGGUAAUGGAAUUGUGAUUAUGACAUCAUGGACAGUUCAGCUGCUUGCACUGGGGGAAAGGGAGAGUAUCAUGGUUACAGCUGGAUCACCUAAGGCAGAGAGGGAAGGAACCAACAGGUAUAUGAAGAAGACUGUAUUUCCUCCUCAGGAAGAAAAAAUCACCUAUAAAAUACAACAUAUAGCAUUGAUACAAAGGAUGCACUAAAGGAUGGACACAAAUGAAAGAACUGAGACAUGAAUUUGUUCUUAAGAAAAUUAUUCUCCAUUCUUUGAGAAGUCAACUGAAUAGGAUGAAGAAACUGCUCUAUGUUAUCAAGUUUUUAAAUUUUGUAUUUACUUAUUUACUUUUGUUGUUACUUAAAUCAACUUUAAAAUAAAAUAAAAUUUAUAUUUGAGUACAAAA
rnacentral:lncRNA from 1 species